UACGGAGGAUCCAAGCGUUAUCCGGAAUCAUUGGGUUUAAAGGGUCCGUAGGCGGGACAAUAAGUCAGUGGUGAAAGUCUGCAGCUCAACUGUAGAACUGCCAUUGAUACUGUUGUCCUUGAGUUACUGUGAAGUGGUUGGAAUAUGUAGUGUAGCGGUGAAAUGUAUAGAUAUUACAUAGAACACCGAUUGCGAAGGCAGAUCACUAAUAAUAUACUGACGCUGAGGUGCGAAAGCGUAGGUAGCGAACAGG
rnacentral:misc_RNA from 1 species